rnacentral:lncRNA from 1 species
GCGCCUGUAGUCCCAGCUACUGGGGAGGCUGAGGCAGGAGAAUUGCGUGAACCCGGGAGGCGGAGCCUGCAGUGGGCUGAGAUCCGGCCACUGCACUCCAGCCUGGGCGGCAGAGCGAGACUCCGUCUCAAAAAAAUAAUAAAAAAAUAAAAAAAUAAAAAAAAUAAAAACCCUGAACAUUAAAACAUUAUAAAAAUUAAAAGGCGUCUGGGUGCGGUGGCUCACGCCUAUAAUCCCAGUACUUUGGGAGGACGAAGUGGGAGGAUCACUUGAGGUCAGGAGUUUGAGAUCAGCCUGGCCAACAUGGUAAAACCCCAUCUGUACUAAAAUGCAAAAAUUAGCCAGGCGUGGUGGCGGGCACCUGUAAUCCCAGCUACUCGGGAGGCUGAAGCAGGAGAAUUGAUUGAACCCGGGAGGCGGAGGUUGCAGUGAGCCAAGAUCGCACCACUGCACUCCAGCCUGGGUGACAAGAGCGAGACUCUGUUUCAAAAAAUAAAAAUAAAAAUAAAAGACAAGGCUCAGAUGUGAGAACAACUGCACUCCAUAAGACGAAGACAAUCCGGCAGAAAAGUGGGCAAUUCACAGAAGGCAAAUGGCCAAUAAACAUGUGAAAAUAGCUCUACCUCAAUAGUCAUCAAGGUAAUGCAAUCCGAAACCACUAAUUCCUACCAUCAGAAGGACAAACAUUUUAAAGUGUUACAAUAGCAAAUGUUUAUCAGGACACUGUGACUGGCCUCGGUGGCUCAUGCAUGUAAUCCCACACUUUGGGAGGCUGAGGUGGGCGGAUCACCUGAGGUCAGGAGUUUGAUACCAGCCUGGCCAACAUGGUGAAACCCCAUCUAUACUAAAAAUACAAAAAUUAGCCAGGUGUGGUGGUGCACAUGUGUAAUCCCAGCUACUCAGAAGGCUGAGGCAAGAGAAUCGCUUGAACCCGGGAGGCGGCAGAGAGCCGAGAUUGUGCCACUGAACUCUAGCCUGGGCAACAAAAACGAAACUCUGUCUCAAAGAUAAAAAUAAAAAUAAAUAAAAGGUAAAGACACUGAGCAACAGGAACACUAAUGGUGGGAGUGAGAACCAGUACCAUCAUGAAGAGCAGAUUAGCAGCAUCUCAUAAAGGUGAAUACUACCACAACCCACCGUCCAAUACUUCAACUCCUAGGUCCCAGAGUAACUCCUAUGUGUGCUCAAGGAGACACAGAUACCAACGCAUACUGCCACACCGUUUGUAAUGGUAGAAAACUGAAAACACCCUAAAUUUCAACCAAGUGAAUUGAUAAGUAAACACUGUCCAACAAAACUUUCUGUGGCCGGGCGCGGUGGCUUAAGCCUGUAAUCCCAGCACU